rnacentral:rRNA from 1 species
UUGAAGCACGGACCAAGGAGUCUAGCGUGUGCGCGAGUCAUUGGGUGUAAAACCUAAAGGCGCAAUGAAAGUGUCAGGGGUGCCUCCUUUAGGAGCGCAUCCCGUAGGGAGGAUGGGCUUCCGUACGUUCACUCGUCGGGGCCCCGCACUCCCGGGGCGUCUCGUUCUCAUCACGAGUGGAGACGCACCAGGAGCGCACACGCUGGUACCCGAAAGAUGGUGAACUAUGCCUGGCCAGGACGAAGCCAGGGGAAACCCUGGUGGAGGUCCGAAGCGAUUCUGACGUGCAAAUCGAUCGUCUGAGCUGGGUAUAGGGGCGAAAGACCAAUCGAACCAUCUAGUAGCUGGUUCCCUCUGAAGUUUCCCUCAGGAUAGCUGGCUCUCGGGAAGAGACGAGUCUCAUCCGGUAGAGCGAAUGAUUAGAGGUGAUGGGGUCGAAACGACUUCAACCUAUUCUCAAACUCCCAAUAGAUGAGAGCCCCGGCUUGCUUAAAAGUGAAGCCGCGGGACUCGGAUCAGAGAUGC